rnacentral:rRNA from 1 species
UACGAAGGGGGCUAGCGUUGUUCGGAAUUACUGGGCGUAAAGCGCACGUAGGCGGAUACUUAAGUCAGGGGUGAAAUCCCGGGGCUCAACCCCGGAACUGCCUUUGAUACUGGGUAUCUCGAGUCCGGAAGAGGUGAGUGGAAUUCCGAGUGUAGAGGUGAAAUUCGUAGAUAUUCGCAGGAACACCAGUGGCGAAGGCGGCUCACUGGUCCGAUACUGACGCUGAGGUGCGAAAGCGUGGGGAGCAAACAGG